AAGUUUUAGGCAAUGGUUUUGUUUAUCACUGAAAGAACUGGACUAUGAAGGGAGGUACUUUCUCUGACUUUCCUCUUCUUUUCUCAGGAAGAAAAGCUGAGAAUGCAAUUCCUGGAGCUGAGACAGCCUUCUUCCAACUAUUCGGUAACGAUCAUGAAGACAGAAAAUAUGCUGAGGAAGGCAGAGUGGAAAAAACAGCCUAGUUUCUUGAGGAAAUUGCUGAGCCAUUGCACCAAGUCAAGAACAUAUAUCUUUAGGUGUAUUGCUAUAGCAUAUUGUGAUGGAUAAGCUACUAUUUGAUGUUCCGAUCGUUGCAUCUUGGAUGAUAUGAUAGUUCCAUGAAUGGCACAAGGAGUUGAGCAACAAGGCAUCAAAUCUUAUUCAGCAGAUAACACGGAAAAACAACUAUAAUUCAGUCAGCUAUCCAAAAAAGGAUAUCAUGUUUAACAAAAAUAAAGUGAAUUUGAACAUGGUGGCUAGUUGUUGUCAUGGAUUUAGGCUGUAUUUUGGAAUACUAAUAUGGCAUGAAUCCAUAAUUGCUUAACUCAAAAAUAAAAGCCAUUCUGUGCAUA
rnacentral:lncRNA from 1 species